UACGUAGGGUGCGAGCGUUGUCCGGAAUUAUUGGGCGUAAAGAGCUCGUAGGCGGUCUGUCGCGUCGAUCGUGAAAACUUGGGGCUUAACCCUGAGCUUGCGGUCGAUACGGGCAUGACUGGAGUUCGGCAGGGGAGACUGGAAUUCCUGGUGUAGCGGUGAAAUGCGCAGAUAUCAGGAAGAACACCCGUGGCUAAGGCGGCUCUCUAGUACGUGACUGACGCUGAGACGCGAAAGCGUGGGGAGCGAACAGG
rnacentral:rRNA from 1 species